AUACGGAGGAUCCGAGCGUUAUCCGGAUUUAUUGGGUUUAAAGGGAGCAUAGGUGGAUUGUUAAGUCAGUUGUGAAAGUUUGCGGCUCAACCGUAAAAUUGCAGUUGAAACUGGCAGUCUUGAGUACAGUAGAGGUGGGCGGAAUUCGUGGUGUAGCGGUGAAAUGCUUAGAUAUCACGAAGAACUCCGAUUGCGAAGGCAGCUCACUAGACUGUUACUGACACUGAUGCUCGAAAGUGUGGGUAUCAAACAGGAUUAGAUACCCUGGUAGUCCACACAGUAAACGAUGAAUACUCGCUGUUUGCGAUAUACAGUAAGCGGCCAAGCGAAAGCAUUAAGUAUUCCACCUGGGGAGUACGCCGGCAACGGUGAAACUCAAAUGAAUUGACGGGG
rnacentral:rRNA from 1 species